rnacentral:rRNA from 1 species
AUUGAACGCUGGCGGCAGGCCUAACACAUGCAAGUCGGACGGUAGCACAGAGGAGCUUGCUCCUCGGGUGACGAGUGGCGGACGGGUGAGUAAUGUCUGGGGAUCUGCCCGAUAGAGGGGGAUAACCACUGGAAACGGUGGCUAAUACCGCAUAACGUCGCAAGACCAAAGAGGGGGACCUUCGGGCCUCUCACUAUCGGAUGAACCCAGAUGGGCUGAGCUAGUAGGCGGGGUAACGGCCCACCUAGGCGACGAUCCCUAGCUGGUCUGAGAGGAUGACCAGCCACACUGGAACUGAGACACGGUCCAGACUCCUACGGGAGGCAGCAGUGGGGAAUAUUGCACAAUGGGCGCAAGCCUGAUGCAGCCAUGCCGCGUGUAUGAAGAAGGCCUUCGGGUUGUAAAGUACUUUCAGCGGGGAGGAAGGCGAUAAGGUUAAUAACCUUGUCGAUUGACGUUACCCGCAGAAGAAGCACCGGCUAACUCCGUGCCAGCCGCCGCGGUAA